rnacentral:rRNA from 1 species
UACAGAGGGUGCAAGCGUUAAUCGGAAUUACUGGGCGUAAAGCGUGCGCAGACGGUUAUUUAAGUCGGGUGUGAAAUCCCCGGGCUCAACCUGGGAAUUGCAUUCGAUACUGGAUAGCUAGAGUUCGGCAGAGGGAAGUGGAAUUUCCGGUGUAGCGGUGAAAUGCGUAGAUAUCGGAAGGAACAUCAGUGGCGAAAGCGACUUCCUGGACCAGAACUGACGUUCAGGCACGAAAGCGUGGGGAGCGAACAGG